AUGUCGAAAUAUUCAUUUAGCGUUAAAUUUUAUAAGAUGUUUCAUCCUUUCUUUUUAUUUACAUUGCUAUUUUCUUCGUUUAUUUUUCGAGUCUUAUCUUCUGUAUAGCUAAAUAAAGAAAUCCAAAGUUUGUAAAUAAUGUGAGUUCAUUUUUAGAAAGUGACGUAACAUAAGUAUAAAGAUAGUUAAUGUUUUUGAAUGAUUAUUAUAAAUAAUAUAUUAUUAUAUUAUGUGAGAUAAGAAAUAAAACCAAUUUCUAUAU